GAAUUCUAGGCAAGUGAUAUACUUCUGGGCCCAUUUCCCCAUCUGUAACAUAAGGAUUCCGUGUUCAGACUACAGCGUUGACCCUUAGACUACCUGCUUGAAAGUGCCCCGGAUGCAUCUUAAAAUGUAGGCUCCUGGGUCUUUCUUUGCUCCUAAUGAUUCUACCCCUAGGAAUAAGACCAAGAACGUGUGUUUUAACGAACACUCCAAAAGCUAAGAACUAUUGCUUUAAGAUACCCGAGCGUCCUCCGAGCUCUGCAACUGAACUAUUAAGGGUCUUAAAAUUCGGCACCCGGCCUUUGGGAAAACACCCAGCGCUUUUGGAACUUUCGUGCCAUUACAUCAUCUCAACCUAUGGCUGUCCUGUAUCUUCCUCAGUACUCAGUCCACUGGUUGGGGCCGAAGAGGUCCAGCUCAGAGUGACCUCCAUGUGGCGUAACAGCCCAGAGUGGGAAUCCCGCUUCUGACAGGUUAGAAGUGACCUUGUGAGGAGUGUGGAUCUCUAAGACUCAGAUGUCGUUGCUAUAAAAUGGGGAAAAUACUACCGACCCUAAUCCAAGGGCUUAUGCCUCCGUGAGCAUUGAUGAGUUUGGGUGCCUGGUCCCCGAGAAAGUUCACCCAGCCCGCUAGAUUCAGAUGAGAACCCGGCAGCAAACUUCCCUGUCAACCCACAACACCUCUGCCCCUGCCCCAGGUGCCGCUACCAGCGCAGCGGCUGUACGGCCUCGCCGCAAGGAUGACUCAGCACCUUGUUGCCCGAGGACAGAAGCACAGCUACACUGAGCCCUUGCCCGCCUGACCAGGGCCUUGUGCCGCCGCCCUCUCCACCAGGUCACCCACAGGACUGCGACCCCAACGCGCAGGCCGGCCCUGACGCAGCCAGCAGCACCGCUGCUUCCAGCCCUUCCCCCCGCACCCAGCGGUCCCGUGAGGGCGGCUGUCAGGACCACCGGGGAUCCCGGGCGCCCGCCGGCCAGCCGGAGCAGUACCUCGGUCCCCGGUCACCUUCGCCUCGCAGUUUCCCUUCCGGGCCCCUAGCGUCGGCCUCAAAGAGCACAGUUCCUCCGGCGCACUGCAUGACGCAACAUCGAAAGGACGUAAAUAGUACGAGCAGCCAAUCACGGGCAGGCCUCUGUCGGAAAAGCGGCCACACUGGGGGAGGCGGGGUUCCGGGUUGAGGAGGCGGGGUUCCAAAUUGGUGGGGCGGGGCCAGUUGAGGAUUGUUGCAGGGAACGUCAUAGUCAGCGUCCAUUUUGCGUGUGGGCAUGGGAGUCGUCUCGGCCAUCUUUGUUUUGGGCAGUGGAGCUCUGUUUUGCUUUUGUUUUAGUCGUUUCACUCGCCGCAGCUAUAAGAAUUAUGUAAAAAUUGAAAGAAAGUAAUGUUAGAGUUAAAAAUUAUUCCGUUUAUUCCGUUCCUUUUUGAAGGCCUUUUUGUCCCUUAAUUUAUCGUGAGAUAAAUAUCUUUUCAAAUGUGUCUGCUUCUGAGCCGAGUCAUCCGGUUUCUGGGGUCUCAUGCCAAAUGUUAGAUGGUGACAUCCAGAAAAGAUUUUUUCUAGAUGGUUUUUUCAUUGCUUUGUGACUUUCCCGCCCACAUUUUCAAGUUUCACCCUAAACCUGUGUAAUAGGCCUGAUAACAGCCGCCUCUGCCUUGCACCCAGGAUUGCUCUGAGGACUAAGAUGUUUCCAUUGCGCGUAAUUUGAUAGGUGAAGAGCUAGUUGUGGAAUACGCGAGAGAGUUACUUUCUUUUUCACUCUCCCUCUAUUUCAACAGAUAUUUACUGAAUGCUCAACUUCGUACCAAGCUCUGUUCUAGAAAUAUAUACAAAUGAAUCAGCCGGGCGUGGUGGCUCAAGCCUGUAAUCCCAGUACUUUGGGAGGCCGCGGCGGGUGGAUCACUUGAGGUUAGGAGUUCGAGACCAGCCUGGCCAACGUGGGGAAACCCUGUCUCUACUAAAAAUACAAAAAUUUGCCAGGCGUGAUUGGUGCCUGUAAUCUAAGCUACUUGGGAAGCUAAGGCAGGAGAAUCACUUGAACCCAGGAGGCGGAGGUUCCAGUGAGCCCAGAUCCCGCAACUGCACUCCAGCCUGGGCGAUAGAGGGAGACUCAGUCUCAAAAAAAAAAGAAACCAAAAAAACAAAAACAAAAAAACAGCAAAUGAAUUAAA
rnacentral:lncRNA from 10 species